rnacentral:lncRNA from 1 species
GUAGUUUUAAAUUUAGGGUGCUUAGUAUUAAGAUCACUACCCAAGCCUUUCUUCAUGCUAAGCCAAUACCAUGUCAAAAACUGUAGUAGGUUUGUUAUGCUAUCUAUAAGUUAUACAUGAGGAUUGAUGUGGGGUUGUCUUAGUACAUUUUGAUGCAUAUGGCAUGCUUGGUAGUGUUGUUUUAUUGUGCUAUCCAUAAUGUUGCCUAGUUAGACAACCCAAGUGGGGGCGA